UACGUAGGUGGCAAGCGUUGUCCGGAUUUACUGGGCGUAAAGGAUGCGUAGGCGGAUAAUUAAGUCAGAUGUGAAAUUCCCGGGCUUAACCUGGGGACUGCAUUUGAAACUGGUAAUCUAGAGUGCGGGAGAGGUAAGUGGAAUUCCUAGUGUAGCGGUGAAAUGCGUAGAGAUUAGGAAGAACACCAGUGGCGAAGGCGACUUACUGGACCGUAACUGACGCUGAGGCAUGAAAGCGUGGGGAG
rnacentral:rRNA from 1 species